UUCUGCACCACGGGAACACAAUCCACCAUGAGCACAAGUCCUGCUGCCCUGGUCUGGGGACAAAUCAUACAUCCUGAGUUUUCAAGUGUGAACCUUCAGUGCCGUAAAAGGCCAGAGAGCAGCUCGCUGCUACACCCAUGCUGUAGGCACAUGCGGGAAGCCCUGAAAACUCCAUGUGCAAAGCCGCAGCACGCCCGCUGACGACAGGAGGGAAAGGAACUAAGAAUCCUACCGCUACCACAGAAUGUCUUCUAGUGAAUGUAGAGCAUCUUUGAAUGAGGAGUCAGAGAACUCGCAAGGACUGGUGUUAAAUGAGAAAGAAGCUGACCAGGCUCACUCAUAUCCCAGCUUUGACAAGGACUGUGGAGAUCAUCUGACAGCUCCAGGGCAGCUCUGGCUUGUGCCUGUGCCCAGAACAGAAUUAU